rnacentral:rRNA from 1 species
UUAGAUACCCUGGUAGUCCACGCCGUAAACGAUGAGUGCUAGGUGUUAGGGGUUUCGAUGCCCUUAGUGCCGAAGUUAACACAUUAAGCACUCCGCCUGGGGAGUACGACCGCAAGGUUGAAACUCAAAGGAAUUGACGGGGGCCCGCACAAGCAGUGGAGCAUGUGGUUUAAUUCGAAGCAACGCGAAGAACCUUACCAGGUCUUGACAUCCUUAUGACCUCCCUAGAGAUAGGGAUUUCCCUUCGGGGGCAUAAGUGACAGGUGGUGCAUGGUUGUCGUCAGCUCGUGUCGUGAGAUGUUGGGUUAAGUCCCGCAACGAGCGCAACCCUUGAUCUUAGUUGCCAGCAUUCAGUUGGGCACUCUAAGGUGACUGCCGGUGAUAAACCGGAGGAAGGUGGGGACGACGUCAAAUCAUCAUGCCCCUUAUGACCUGGGCUACACACGUGCUACAAUGGAUGGUACAAAGAGCAGCAAAACCGUGAGGUCGAGCCAAUCUCAUAAAGCCAUUCUCAGUUCGGAUUGUAGGCUGCAACUCGCCUACAUGAAGCCGGAAUUGCUAGUAAUCGCGGAUCAGCAUGCCGCGGUGAAUACGUUCCCGGGCCUUGUACACACCGCCCGUCA